AAUAAGCAAUGGAUUUAGUUCCCUCUCUUAACAUCUAACGUGAACUCUGCCGCAUCCACCGCAAGCAUCAGCGCCGCCGCCGCCCUGAAGCCUCAGAAAGUUGUUGCUCUUUUCGCUGCUCAAACCUGCCAUACCACUCCAUCGGCUGCUGCUGAUUGCUACUUUCUUGUGCACUUGGCUUCUAUUUUCUCAGGGGCUCGAGAACUCAUAAAGGCCAUUUUCUUGCUUUUUGUCGAGUAUCAGAAGAUGGCAACUGGAGCUGGACUAGAGACUCUUGUUGAUCGGAAUUCUAAAAGGUUUCGAUCAAGCAACCAACAUAAUUCUUGAUGAGUCUCAUGAACGUGUGUACUCCACAAAGGUCUCGUCUCUUGCAAGUAUUGAAUGCUUGAAUGUUUGCUAACUAAUUAGUCUGAUUACUUGUCUGCCAAUUAAUGAUUUUGUUCAAGGAACUAUGUCAAUUCGUUUUAAAGACACUAAC